rnacentral:rRNA from 1 species
UACGUAGGGUGCAAGCGUUGUCCGGAAUUAUUGGGCGUAAAGAGCUCGUAGGCGGUUUGUCGCGUCGGCUGUGAAAACCUGGGGCUCAACCCCGGGCCUGCAGCCGAUACGGGCAAGCUAGAAUUCGGUAGGGGGGACUGGAAUUCCUGGUGUAGCGGUGAAAUGCGCAGAUAUCAGGAGGAACACCGGUGGCGAAGGCGGGUCUCUGGGCCGAUAUUGACGCUGAGGAGCGAAAGCGUGGGGAGCGAACAGG